rnacentral:tRNA from 1 species
GGAGACGUGGCCGAGUGGUUAUGGCGCUGUAAGUUCUCAUUCCUGAGCCAUAGCGAUUGCUCAUGCCUAACAAUCUCUCAGAGUUUCAGGCAGUGAAAACUGUGCCGAUCUGGGAUUUACUAGUGGGUAAUUCCGCGUGGGUUCGAGUCCCACCGUCUUCA